rnacentral:rRNA from 2 species
CUGGUUGAUCCUGCCAGAGGUCAUUGCUAUUGGAGUCCGAUUUAGCCAUGCUAGUUGCACGAGUUUAGACUCGUAGCAGAUAGCUCAGUAACACGUGGCCAAACUACCCUAUGGAUCCGAAUAACCUCGGGAAACUGAGGCUAAUGCGGAAUAGCGUUCAUCGCCUGGAGUGGCACGAACGCGAAACGUUACGGCGCCAUAGGAUGUGGCUGCGGCCGAUUAGGUAGACGGUGGGGUAACGGCCCACCGUGCCCAUAAUCGGUACGGGUUGUGAGAGCAAGAGCCCGGAGACGGUAUCUGAGACAAGAUACCGGGCCCUACGGGGCGCAGCAGGCGCGAAACCUUUACACUGCACGCGAGUGCGAUAAGGGGACUCCGAGUGCGAGGGCAUAUAGUCCUCGCUUUUCACGACCGUAAGGUGGUCGUAGAAUAAGUGCUGGGCAAGACCGGUGCCAGCCGCCAGCGGUAAUACCGGCAGCACAAGUGAUGACGCUAUUAUUGGGCCUAAAGCGUCCGUAGCUGGCCACGCAAGUCUAUCGGGAAAUCCGCGCGCUUAACGCGCGGGCGUCCGGUGGAAACUGCGUGGCUUGGGACCGGAAGACCAGAGGGGUACGUCCGGGGUAGGAGUGAAAUCCCGUAAUCCUGGACGGACCACCGGUGGCGAAAGCGCCUCUGGAAGACGGAUCCGACCGGUGAGGGAGAAAGCUCGGGUCACGAACCGGAUUAGAUACCCGGGUAGUCCGAGCUGUAAACGAUGUCUGCUAGGUGUGGCACAGGCUACGAGCCUGUGCUGUGCCGUAGGGAAGCCGUGAAGCAGACCGCCUGGGAAGUACGUCCGCAAGGAUGAAACUUAAAGGAAUUGGCGGGGGAGCACUACAACCGGAGGAGCCUGCGGUUUAAUUGGACUCAACGCCGGACAUCUCACCAGCAUCGACAAUGUGCAGUGAACGUCAGGUUGAUGACCUUACUGGAGC